AGGACGAACGCUGGCGGCGUGCUUAACACAUGCAAGUCGAACGGUAAGGCCCCUUCGGGGGUACACGAGUGGCGAACGGGUGAGUAACACGUGAGCAACCUGCCCUUGACUCUGGAAUAACAGCUGGAAACAGCUGCUAAUACCGGAUACGACCUCGAUCGACAUCAGUCGAGGUGGAAAGCUCCGGCGGUCAAGGAUGGGCUCGCGGCCUAUCAGCUUGUUGGUGAGGUAACGGCUCACCAAGGCUUCGACGGGUA
rnacentral:rRNA from 1 species